GUCUGCAGAGGAUGGCUCUCACCCCACCUCUGUCCCUUCACUGGCAGAGCUCAAGCGGCUGGGAUCCGUGGACAAGUUCUGCUGAGGGGCGAAAACUAUUCAUGAGUUCCUGCAGCGGCGAGGCGUGAGACGCUGGAUACCCCUGGGGAGGAUCCGCAGAGUUUGGCUCUCACCGCACCUUCUGUCCCUUCACCAGGAGAGUUCAAGCAGCUGGGAACCGCAGACAAGUUCUGCUGAGGGGUGAACACUAUCCUCCCGUCUCCACGGUGGCGAGGCAUUUCCAGCGAUAGACCAGGAAAGAACCGAGCGGCACACAGAGGGUCGAGAAUCAGCCUUUCAUCACGCCGGUGGGCUCAGAGGGGCACGCCACCAAACUCUGAGCACACGUCCUUAUUUUUCCCCAGUCUUAUACAUUUACACAACCAAUCCACUAUCAUCUAAUUAGUAGGAUCAGCCAAGAAAACUCAGCUGUGACUCUGAUCUUCUGCUCCUUUGAAAAUAAUCCAUCUGUUCCUGUCUCUGCCUGUGAAGUCUCUGUGUCUCCGGCAUCUCUGGGCCUGCCUCACCCUCCAGUCUUCAGGACACCACCUUGCCUGUGAGUUUCUGACAGAUGCCUUUCUCAUCCUGCGUCUCGGCUGACGCUGUGGCCUCUGCCAGUGCCCUUCCUCCUCUGCACCCCACGCUCGCUGUCUCACCUGGCUGAUGUCCACGUGUCACUUGGGACUCAGCCCACAGCCCUUCCAUCACAUGCUCCAGGACACCUCCCUGGCCUCUCUCCUGGGCCGGGCGCCUUCCCAGGCCUUCCACAGGCCUCCCGGGCUUUGGGGUAUUGGUAUUGGCAUUAAAAGUUCGAUGUGACUGAGUGUAGCUGCCUUUCUGUAUUUGUCAUGAAUUAUAUUUAUUUGGCCUGUUCAA